UACCAGCACCCCGAGUGGUCGGGACGAUUAUUGGGCCUAAAGCAUCCGUAGCCGGUUUUACAAGUCCUCCGUUAAAUCCAACUGCUUAACAGGUGGGCCGCGGAGGAUACUAUAAGACUAGGAGGCAGGAGAGGCAAGCGGUACUCAGUGGGUAGGGGUAAAAUCCGUUGAUCCAUUGAAGACCACCAGUGGCGAAGGCGGCUUGCCAGAAUGCGCUCGACGGUGAGGGAUGAAAGCGGGGGGAGCAAACGGG
rnacentral:rRNA from 1 species